UCAGGAUGGACGCUGGCGGUAUGCUUUAUACAUGCAAGUCGUACGAGAGUUUUUAACUCAAGUGGCGGACGGGUGAGUAACACGUAAGAAUUUGCCUUCAGGAGGGGGAUAACAACUGGAAACGGUUGCUAAUACCCCAUAUGCUUUUGAGUGAAAUGGAUUUUUCCCCUAAAGAGAAGCUUGCGGCUGAUUAGCUUGUUGGUAAGGUAAUGGCUUACCAAGGCGACGAUCAGUAUCUGGUUUGAGAGGAACAGAUCAGACACACUGGAACUGAGACACGGUCCAGACUCCUACGGGAGGCAGCAGUAGGGAAUUUUCCGCAAUGGGCGAAAGCCUGACGGAGCAAUACCGCGUGAGGGAUGACGGCCUAUGGGUUGUAAACCUCUUUUUUCAGGG
rnacentral:rRNA from 1 species